rnacentral:rRNA from 1 species
GGUUAGUGGCAGACGGGUGAGUAAUGCAUAGGAAUCUACCUAGUAGUAUGGGAUAGCCACUAGAAAUGGUGGGUAAUACUGUAUAAUCCCUGCGGGGGAAAGAUUUAUCGCUAUUAGAUGAGCCUAUGUCAGAUUAGCUAGUUGGUGGGGUAAUGGCCUACCAAGGCGGUGAUCUGUAGCUGGUCUGAGAGGAUGAUCAGCCACACUGGAACUGAGACACGGUCCAGACUCCUACGGGAGGCAGCAGUGGGGAAUAUUGGACAAUGGGCGCAAGCCUGAUCCAGCUAUGCCGCGUGAGUGAGGAAGGCCUUAGGGUUGUAAAACUCUUUCAGUAGGGAAGAUAAUGACGGUACCUACAGAAGAAGUCCCGGCAAACUCCGUGCCAGCAGCCGCGGUAAUACGGAGGGGGCAAGCGUUGUUCGGAAUUAUUGGG